UACGUAGGGUGCAAGCGUUGUCCGGAAUUAUUGGGCGUAAAGAGCUCGUAGGCGGCCUGUUGCGUCCGCUGUGAAAUCCCGGGGCUUAACCCCGGGCGUGCAGUGGAUACGGGCUGGCUGGAGGCAGGCAGGGGAGAACGGAAUUCCCGGUGUAGCGGUGAAAUGCGCAGAUAUCGGGAGGAACACCGGUGGCGAAGGCGGCGACCUGGUCCUUAACUGACGCUGAGGCGCGAAAGCGUGGGGAGCAAACAGG
rnacentral:rRNA from 1 species